rnacentral:rRNA from 1 species
UGGGGAAUUUUGGACAAUGGGCGAAAGCCUGAUCCAGCAAUGCCGCGUGUGUGAAGAAGGCCUUCGGGUUGUAAAGCACUUUUGUCCGGAAAGAAAUGGCUCUGGUUAAUACCUGGGGUCGAUGACGGUACCGGAAGAAUAAGGACCGGCUAACUACGUGCCAGCAGCCGCGGUAAUACGUAGGGUCCAAGCGUUAAUCGGAAUUACUGGGCGUAAAGCGUGCGCAGGCGGUUGUGCAAGACCGGUGUGAAAUCCCCGAGCUUAACUUGGGAAUUGCAUUGGUGACUGCACGGCUAGAGUGUGUCAGAGGGGGGUAGAAUUCCACGUGUAGCAGUGAAAUGCGUAGAGAUGUGGAGGAAUACCGAUGGCGAAGGCAGCCCCCUGGGAUAACACUGACGCUCAUGCACGAAAGCGUGGGGAGCAAACAGG